ensembl:lncRNA
UGUGCUUUAUCGUGAUGUAUUUUUUUCAUCUGUGAGCAAGAUGUGUCCUAAGGAGGAAACCCAGGUUUGAUCCCUGGGUCUGGAAGAUCUCCUGGAGAAGGGAAUGUCUACCUACUCCAAUGUUCUUGCCUGGAGUCUCGCCUGGAGAAUUCUAUGGACAGAGGAGUACACAACCUUGGUUUAAACAAGGAAUGGAAAAAUUUAAAUCCGUGGACAAGGAGUUGAACUCUGAGGCUCCUGUCCCCUCCUCGCUCACCUGCAUGCACGGUGUCUUUCUAAAGGCAUUCAAGUGUUGGCUGGAGAGACCAACACUUAGAUCAACACGAAGGGCUCUGCCUCCUGAGGCGCCAAAACCAACCUGAAGGAGAUGCCAAUCCCCCACCAAUUUCCCACGAUACAAACUAAUGAUUAACAAGAAAGACUCCUGUUCCUACUGGUUAGUAAUGUCAUUACGCUUGAUGAGUAUUAUUAAAGGACCCCUGUUAUUAAAGA